rnacentral:lncRNA from 1 species
ACGAUAUAUGCCAGGUGAGUUUCAUGCACCCGAGGCUUGUGUUGGUAUCAUUUUGGAUAUGCUCAUAAUUACAAUGAUAUUGUCGAUAUUGACUCCAUUUAUCCUUCGAAUCUUCACUUAUAAUAAUGUUUGUGUAUAUAUCUAUAACAGGUAUAUGAAACAGUGGAGACAAUGGUCCACAAUCAAGAUGAGACAAUAAACAUUCACCUCAACAACAAGAAACCACCACCGCAGGCGAAGUGAGGAACCGCUUCAAGAAGCUUAGCCUAAUCUUCGGAGGCAAAUCGAAGGGUGCCCCCAAAGACUCCCCAAAGACGACUGAGGAAAACUCUGAUCGGCAGCCAUUCUCAAUAUUCUCGAAGAAGCCUCCGAAACCUAUCUUGUCUCCAUCGGAGAAACCGUCGGGUUCGGUUGAAAGUGAAUGGACGAUUGUAUAAGUGUGCAGUUGUAUUUUGCUCUACAAGGCAGCUCAAGGAAAUGUGCAAUAUUCAGUCACCUCAAGUUGUUUCAUCUAGAAUAGAGAGCAACUGAUUUCCUAGAGCUUUCUUGUGGAACCCAUCAACAUUAGAUAGCGUUAUACCUUUAUUUAAUUCUCAACCAUAUGGUUGUAAACAAUUGUGACAAAACCCAAAACAGAGUGAAGUUUUCAUUUGCUCAUUGUAAACAAGAAAAAAAGAAGAAGAAAAAACACAAAAAAGUGUAUUUUGAUAUACGUUCACAUUUGUUAGUUUUUACUAUCAUAAAUUAAUAUAUUUCUGUUUGAAGUCGGAACUUAAGAUCCGAAAGUUUACAAUAAGCAGCCUGAAUAUAUUAUUUAAAAUUUAUUGUAAAAAAUAGUGUAUCAGCUUUAACCAACAAAUCUUUAAUAACGCUGGGUUGCUUCCUUAAGGGAAUUAACUUCAUUUAUUCGUAGACUGAUAGAGGCGUCACAUUGGUUAAAACACCUAAG